GUGUUUGUUUUGGGAACACAUAUAGUAAAACCAUAAUGAUACAGAGAAGAUUAGCAUGGCCCCUGUGCAAAGAUGACAUAAAAUUCAUGAAGCAUUCCAUAUUUUU
rnacentral:snRNA from 1 species